rnacentral:lncRNA from 1 species
UUCCUGUCCCAUUCAUACUACUGUUGGCUUAUGUGCUAUGUCUAGCGGCUGGUGAAUCCUACCCAGUAUCGGAAUUGGGUAGGAUAUUUCCUCGGUUUCCGAGAAGGGUUUUAAUGGCGACCGGACUCCUCUUCUCUGGAAGUCUAAUGGUUUGGGGGACGUCGAUUCCCUGGAUUUUCUGGCUUCCCUUCAACCAGCCACUCUUUUAGUUCCCAAAAUAUAUAGAAUCC